rnacentral:rRNA from 1 species
GACGAACGCUGGCGGCGUGCUUAACACAUGCAAGUCGAACGGAAAGGCCCUGCUUUUGUGGGGUGCUCGAGUGGCGAACGGGUGAGUAACACGUGAGUAACCUGCCCUUGACUUUGGGAUAACUUCAGGAAACUGGGGCUAAUACCGGCUAGGAGCUCCUGCUGCAUGGUGGGGGUUGGAAAGUUUCGGCGGUUGGGGAUGGACUCGCGGCUUAUCAGCUUGUUGGUGGGGUAGUGGCUUACCAAGGCUUUGACGGGUAGCCGGCCUGAGAGGGUGACCGGCCACAUUGGGACUGAGAUACGGCCCAGACGCCUACGGGAGGCAGCAGUGGGGAAUAUUGCACAAUGGGCGGAAGCCUGAUGCAGCGACGCCGCGUGCGGGAUGACGGCCUUCGGGUUGUAAACCGCUUUCGCCUGUGACGAAGCGUGAGUGACGGUAAUGGGUAAAGAAGCACCGGCUAACUACGUG